rnacentral:rRNA from 1 species
UUGACCUCAAAUCAGGUAGGACUACCCGCUGAACUUAAGCAUAUCAAUAAGCGGAGGAAAAGAAACUAACAAGGAUUCCCCUAGUAACUGCGAGUGAAGAGGGAAGAGCUCAAAUUUUGAAUCUGGCGGUCUCUGGCCGUCCGAGUUGUAAUCUAGAGAAGCGUUUUCCGCGCUGGACCGUGUAUAAGUCUCCUGGAAGGGAGCGUCGUAGAGGGUGAGAAUCCCGUCUUUGACACGGACUACCAGUGCUAUGUGAUGCGCUCUCGACGAGUCGAGUUGUUUGGGAAUGCAGCUCAAAU